rnacentral:rRNA from 1 species
AAGCUCGUAGUUGAAUUUCGGGAUCAGUAAGUUGGUCGUGCCUCCGGUAUGUACUGGCUUUACUGGUUCCUCCUUCUUGAAGAACUGUAAUGUCAUUAAUUUGGUGUUGCAAGGAAACAGGACUGUUACUUUGAAAAAAUUAGAGUGUUUAAAGCAGGCUAACGCUUGAAUACAUUAGCAUGGAAUAAUGAAAUAGGACGUUUGAUCCUAUUUUGUUGGUUUCUAGGAUCGACGUAAUGAUUAAUAGGGAUGGG